CGACGAGCUGCUGCAGGUGUAAAGCGCUGGGCUCACGGCUAAGUGCUGCAGGCAAGCCGAGGAGAAAAUACGUUUUUAACGAUGGCUUCAGUAAAUGUCACAUAUGGACAGAAAGAGACCACAGACCAGAACUUCGAUUACAUGUUUAAAAUCCUCAUCAUCGGAAACAGCAGCGUAGGAAAGACCUCCUUCCUUUUCCGCUAUGCAGAUGACUCUUUCACGCCAGCUUUUGUCAGCACUGUCGGCAUCGACUUCAAGGUGAAAACAAUCUA